UACGAAGGGGGCUAGCGUUGUUCGGAAUCACUGGGCGUAAAGCGCACGUAGGCGGACUGAUAAGUCGGGGGUGAAAUCCCGGGGCGCAACCCCGGAACUGCCUUCGAUACUGUCAGUCUCGAGUCCGAGAGAGGUGAGUGGAAUUCCUAGUGUAGAGGUGAAAUUCGUAGAUAUUAGGAAGAACACCAGUGGCGAAGGCGGCUCACUGGCUCGGUACUGACGCUGAGGUGCGAAAGCGUGGGGAGCAAACAGG
rnacentral:rRNA from 1 species